rnacentral:misc_RNA from 1 species
UGCGCCGUUCACAUCCGGGAUUCUGUUCAGCUUCCAAAAACAUGGCGACUGCAGAAGGAGGAGGAAAAGACGAGGUGAAAACACAAUUCACCACUCGAGAGGGGACUUAUAAACUCAUGACCUUGUCUGAGUAUUCCAGACCUACCAGGCAACCGUACAGUGUCCAGUGCUGCCAUCCCGUAAAAGUGUCAUUUACCAGUAUCAAUGAGACUGGGGUGUGUAAUGACAAGAUAUGUUUCAACGUUGGUCGAGAGCUAUACUUUUAUCCAUACAAGGGAGUACGGAAGGCAGCUGAUUUGACCAAGCCUUUAGAUAAGAGGACAUACAAGGGAGGGACACUACCAACAUGUCAUGAUUUCAACCAGCUUACUGCCAAUGCUAAGGGUGUAUCUGUUAUAGUAGGCUUCUCAGCUGGCCAAGUUCAACUUAUUGAUCCCAUCAGAAAAGAUAUUAGCAGGAUAUACAAUGAAGAGAGAAUGAUCGACAAAAGCAAAGUAAUGUGCCUAAAGUGGGUUCCUGGAACUGAGCACAUGUUCAUUGCAUCACAUCAGAGUGGAUUUAUGUAUGUAUACAAUGAGACUGUAGUACCAGUGAAUACACCUCCUCACUACCAGCUUGUAAAGCAGGGAGAAGGAUAUGCUGUCUUCACAUGUAAGAGUAAAAUGCCAAGGAACCCCGUCUACAGAUGGGCAGUUGGUGAAGGUUCUGCCAAUGAGUUUGCCUUUUCUCCAGAUGCUAAUUAUUUAGCAUGUGUUUCGCAGGAUGGUUUCCUCCGCGUGUUCAACUAUGACACAAUGGAACUCCAUGGGAUGAUGAAGAGUUACUUUGGUGGCUUGAUAUGUGUUUGUUGGAGUCCUGAUGGAAAGUACAUUGUAGUAGGUGGAGAGGAUGAUCUUGUUACUGUAUGGUCAUUCUUUGAACAAAGGGUCAUAGCGAGGGGAAGGGGUCAUAGUUCUUGGGUGAGUGUAGUGACCUUUGAUCACUAUACGACAGGGAUGAUGAAUGUGGAUGGCACAGACUUUGGUAGCGAUGAUGACUUUGGUUCUCAGAAUAAUGACAUGAGUAAUAACAGGGAACGUUCAUUCAGCAACUACUCAAGAAACUCUAUACGCAGUACAAGUGACCUCCCUCCACCACACCUAUACAGGUUUGGCUCUAUCGGUCAAGAUACUCAGUUGUGCCUAUGGGAACUUACAGAGGACAUGAUCCAACAGUUCCAACCCCCUGCAAGAACUCGCACCAACACUCAGCUGUCUGCAUCCCAUUGCAAUAACAUCUCACACAAAAGCAAUGCCAGCUCUAACCAUCCUGAUGGAACCCACUCAAAGUUCUCUACUCUUUCAUUGUCGGACAAGCACAAGGAGAAGAACAAGAAGGACAGUGUAUCAAGUAAGAGUAGCGUGCAUUCACAUUUGAAUAAGAUGCACCUGAGGAUCUUUGAGGAAGCAUCAAAAGCUAUUGGUACUCAGCUAUGUCCAAGGUUGGAUGAAGUUCUCACAUUAGAACCAAUUGUGGCUAAAAAGGUUGCACAUGAGAGACUCACUUCAUUGCUCUUCAGAGAAGACUGUCUUGUAACAGCGUGUCAAGAAGGGUUUGUCAGUACAUGGGCUAGGCCAGGGAAAGUGGGUCUGAGUGGUACUUCAAGAGAGUUAUUGUCACGGUGAAUGUUUCGUCAUUGUCAGUCAGUCAGUCAUUGCCUGAGCCUAGUUCAAACCAGGAAUGACUCAGCAAGUAACAAUGGGAGGCACAGUGGUAUGAAAUCGGCACCUUGGUUCAAAGCUUUGUCAGACCUGCAUCUACUGCUCUUAUUCUUCUAUUACUGUACUACUUAUGUGUAAGGCAAUAUCUGUGAUCUGUCCUGGUGAUCAUGUAGAUUAAUGUGUGUACCUCCUGGGUGAAUCUAUUAUUCACUUGCUGUCCUUAUUGCCACUGCAGAUUGUUGAACAAAUAUAUUGAAGUCAUAUUUGACUUUGACCUAUGCUAUUUCAUAGAGUGAAAAAGCCCCCCUUAAUUGUUUUUAAUUUUAUAAUAAGAAUGAUAACCCCUAAAAUGAGUUGCUAAAUGUUGUCAUAGCUUGUGUUUGUGUUUUCUAUCAGGUAAAAAUCAGGCUUUUCUUAUCCUAAUAUGAUUUGUAUCCUCUGUAAUUAUUGCUGAUUUAAAGCACAAGCAGGUGUAUUCACAAUUGGCAUUUCUCAAAAAGGAACGGUUUGUCGGUAAUCAUAAAUGGAUAAUCAAUUCUAAACACAUUAUUGUAAAUGCAUUUUUGAUUUGAUCAAUCGUGCAACAUAAAGACAAAAAUCUCAUUAAAAAAAACAAGAGCAUGAACUUUCCCUCUACUCCUAAUAUAAACAACAAAAAUUGAAAGUAUUUACCUAGUAUCUGAAAUGAACUGUGAUUAUAAAAUGAGAUUGUAGUAUUUUUAGUUGUAAAUAUCUGGAGCAUGGAAUGCAGAAGAGCGCCAUCAUUUAGCAUGAGCCUGAAACAACAAAGUAUCAACAGUACUACAUGGAAUGGAACUGCGCUUAUGCAAGCACACACGUACAUGCUUAUACAUCCUUCUAACUGAGGCAGGUUACCAACAGGCAAAGUCAUGUCUUCCCUGUAGAAAUCGUGCAGGCUUCUUUCCAUUUCUAAUCCUCCCAAUCAUAAUUGAUAGAACAAUGUGGAAAGCUACAGUGAAAGGUGCAUUUGAAAUUCCAAGACACUAUUUGUUUUCCUGCUUGUUAUGUUUUGUGAAUAUGAGGAUGAGCAGGAUGCCAUUUCACGAAAGUUGUCAGCACUGAUAAAUUGACUUUCUCCGACAGUUCCUAUAGUAACAGUCAGAGGCUAGAGCCUUUCAGCCAAUCAAAACCAAGGAUUUAAGUAAAGUGUCAGCACUGACAAUUUAGUCGGUGCUGACUACUUUCAUGAAAUGCCCCCCCCCUGGUGUAUAUUCUUGCAAGAUUUCUUAACAAAAGAUGUGGUUUUGACUUUUGAUAAGAUGCAUAAUAGCCAUCCCUAUUGAAUUCUACAGAUGAAUUAAAGUUCAGAAAAUAU